UAAAUGAGCUAGAUGGCAACUCUGUAUUGGCAAUGACAGAUUGGACGAAAUGUAAACAUUGGUUAUCGGGUACUUGUUGUUGUACUCACCGACACCACUAAUUGUCAGAUUAAUUUUUUUCAUUUUUUCGCUUACGCUUUGGUUAUUAAGCCACUGAAUUUCUAAAAACUCCGGUUUUCCGUGUAUUCCGAGUUGGCGAGCAACGCCCUCGUCCAGCAUGGACACAUUGGCGCCGUCGUCAAUGAACGCGUACGUCGUUAUCUGUUUGUGUGUUCCGUAUAACGUCACGGGCAAAAUUUGGAACAAUACGUUUUCGGUGUAGUGGGCGGCA